UACGAAGGACCCAAGCGUUAUCCGGAUUUAUUGGGUUUAAAGGGUGCGUAGGCGGAUUGUUAAGUCAGUGGUGAAAGCUCCGAGCCCAACUCGGAAACUGCCAUUGAUACUGAUGAUCUUGAGUACAUUUGAGGUGGGCGGAAUGUGUCAUGUAGCGGUGAAAUGCUUAGAGAUGACACAGAACACCGAUUGCGAAGGCAGCUCACUAAACUGUAACUGACGCUGAGGCACGAAAGCGUGGGGAUCAAACAGG
rnacentral:rRNA from 1 species